ensembl:lncRNA
GGGGGGGGGGGGGGGGCUGGUGGGUUGGUUAGCCUAGUUCUCCUGCCUACAACCCAGCUAUGGAAUUCCGAGACAUAAUUGCAUUUUGGCCUCCGGUCACAACUGAGACCUCAAUGAUCCGGUGAUGCUGUCUGUGAUUCUCCAGGACAGGAAACAUCCUGGGAGGAACAAACGUCUACUCAGUUCCUCCUUGUUCUUGGAUCGUUACAUCUUAUUUACGCAGGAUGUACUGAACUCUCGGCAAGUCAUUUGUUACACUUUGUUUCUCCCGAUGUACUGAAUAAAAGGAGACGAGGACUCACUGCAGAGGUUCUAGUAACGUCCUCUUUCCCUGUUCCCUACAUUUGGCACCCAACUUGGAUGCGAACCCGCCUGUGAGACAAACUUGGAGUAAGAGAGACAGCACACGGAUCUCCCGGGACGAUUUCCGGACUUGCACGAGGGACACUGGUGGUAAGUGUGUCCAGCCGGGGGUAAGUUUCUAUCCUUGCUGAGUUACAACUAUGGGUCAGUCUCUGUCAUCAGAGCAGCGUAACUUUGCCAAAUUACUUGAGUCGCUGUUAAAGCAAGCUAUGUACCCAGUACCUAAGGAUGCUGUGAUAGAUUUGCUAAAAGACAUACAAAUGUACAUCCCAUCUUUCCCCCAGGAAGGGACAACAAACUUAAUAGCAUGGGAACGUGUAGGUACCGUUCUCCGUGAGGCCUGGCAAAGGGGUGAUCGUCUCUCCCCCCAAACGCUCCCCACUUGGGCCUUGGUCCACUCUGCCCAGAGGUCAGAGUUGCUAGCCGUUUUAUCUGUGAUUCAAAACUUCCCUCCCCAACCUCUUAAUAUUUUAAGUGAUUUCUCUUGAGCAGUUUGGUUGACCCAAAGACUGGAAGGAGCUAUGGUCUGCUCUACCUUAGAACCUAAAUUAUUAAACUUGUUUUUAAGAUUACCAAAGGCCAUAUGUCAAAAAAUUGCUCCUGCCUUAAUAACUCGGGGGAGAGGUUUUGCCUGUGUCCUAACAGACAAUGAUGAAACCUUGUGGCUGCCCUCCCGGAAUGUGAGACCAUGGGUCACACUGGUGGAACCACCAACAUCUUGGAGAAUGGGUGAUAGCACCCCAGCUGAGAGCGAUGAGCCAGCUGCGCCUGAGUGACCCACCUCACCAGCAACGACCAACAGAUCCACAGCGGGGUCCAGGAUUGAGAUGAUGUCCCCAGAGGAAGAAUAAAUAUAGAUUUUUAAAGGGGGGGGGGCACAACUUGAAAAUGUUCUUUUUAUAUUUAUAGGUAUAAAAGCGCUUGCAUUCCUUCUGAUUCUAAUCUCAAGAGAUCUCUGUUAAUUGACUACAAAAGUUUUUGACCCGUCUUAUAUACAAUUAUAAACCUAAAAAUCAUAAAAGGGAUAUUAUAAUUUGAUUUGGCCAAAUAUAUUUGAGCGCACUCUAGUUUUAUAAACUGUCUUAUAUGUCUGUCUGUUGUCUGUUUGUCCGUCUGUACAGUUGAGCUCAAAAUUUUUUUUCUCUUAUCCUUUUCAUCUUUUGGAAAAAAAAUUUUUUUUUUCCUUAAAAGAUAUUCACCUAUUAUUGGAUUGGCUUACAGAUAAAUGUUAUUAAAUUAAAGUCAUGCCCUUCUUCUCCCAGGUUGCUAACUGAUCAGAGUGCCAUCGAGAUUUAUUUGUCAAAGUACAUAGAGACCGUGGGUGUACUCCCUUUGGUGAAUAAAGAAGCGGCCACCCAGAAAAUAAUUAUUCUGGUCUAAAUUCACUGAAGGGACCCCCUAGUAAUAUUCAUAAUCUUAUGGGAGACACACCACAACAAAUAUUGUCUCAACAUGUUAUUAUAAAUUGAUUACAUUGGUUAUCAUUGACGUUUAAGCGCUAAAUAUGUUAUUAUAAAAUGUUUAAGGGCCGGGGAUUUAGCU